UACGGGGGGAGCAAGCGUUGUUCGGAUUUACUGGGCGUAAAGGGCGCGUAGGCGGCCAGCGCAAGUCAGUUGUGAAAUCUCCGGGCUUAACUCGGAACGGUCAACUGAUACUGCGCGGCUAGAGUGCAGAAGGGGCAACUGGAAUUCUCGGUGUAGCGGUGAAAUGCGUAGAUAUCGAGAGGAACACCUGCGGCGAAGGCGGGUUGCUGGCCCGGUACUGACGCUGAGGUGCGAAAGCGUGGGGAGCAAACAGG
rnacentral:rRNA from 1 species